ensembl:miRNA mir145 microRNA 145
CGUCUCCCUGUCCUCGGGGUCCAGUUUUCCCAGGAAUCCCUUGGGCAUUCAGAGGGGGAUUCCUGGAAAUACUGUUCUUGGGGGCGGGGCUUGGC